ACGGAAGGCAGCAGUGAGGAAUAUUGGUCAAUGGACGGAAGUCUGAACCAGCCAUGCCGCGUGAAGGAAUAAGGCCCUAUGGGUCGUAAACUUCUUUUGUGGUGGAGCAAUAAGGUGCACGUGUGCAUCGCUGAGAGUACAUCACGAAUAAGCAUCGGCUAACUCCGUGCCAGCAGCCGCGGUAAUACGGAGGAUGCGAGCGUUAUCCGGAUUUAUUGGGUUUAAAGGGUGCGUAGGCUGUUCUUCAAGUCAGAGGUGAAAUACCGGGGCUCAACCCUGGAACUGCCUUUGAUACUGGAGGGCUUGAAUACUGUUGCCGUGGGAGGAAUGAGUAGUGUAGCGGUGAAAUGCAUAGAUAUUACUCAGAACACCGAUUGCGAAGGCAUCUCACGAAGCAGCGAUUGACGCUGAGGCACGAAAGCGUGGGGAUCAAACAGGAUUAGAUACCCUGGUA
rnacentral:rRNA from 1 species